CCUACGCGUCUAAAACAAGUCUGCCUCUGUUUGUAUUCAUCCAGAAAUUAUUUCAAUCUAGUUUUUAGCCAUUUCUCUGGUUUCCAAAAGGCAAAAUGUCAGCACAGCUGACACUACAAUGCAAUAUUCUAAGCAAACUGCAGGAGUCAAAGGAUUAACUGGUAGUAGACUGCAUAUUGCAGACAUGCAAACUGUAUACAGCUGCAACGUUGCCAGCGGCAUCCAGUGUUCUAAAAUAAAAUAAUAGACCAGUACUUCAACCUUGCUACAAGAGGGUCCCGCGAGGGUUCAUAAGCAAAUCAAAUGCAAUACAUUUUAAAAAAUUUAAAAUUAUUAAAGAUAACGCAUGUUUUAUCUCUGGUAUAUGUAAAAAAAACUCAGAAGAAGGAUAUUAAAUAUAAAGGAUUAAUUCUAGGGCAAGGUUUUACAUUUUGCAGUAACAUUUCACUGGUUUUAUGGUGAUUGCUCCACAUUUACACUUUUUCCCCAAAUUGUUCUUGGCACACCCCACCCAACCCCAGGAAUCAAAAUUUCAAAGGCUAUUUGCACGAACCUUUUAGAAUUAGAUGAAUAACGUAUCACAUUGUUGAUAUUGUCCAUAAUAAGAGUAUGGUAUUUGUGUGGGAAAAAAAGAGGCUUACGCUUAACUGAGCUUUUUGACUCUUAGCUCUGGCAGUGAAUGGGGUUCAGGGUUUACGUUCUGGAAGCCCAAACUGAACUGGGAAAUUUAAUACUGUCUGCAGAGGUGGAAACAACAAUAACGGCAAAAGGAAGACAUCUCUCUUGGGUUCUUUGUUGUGACUUUGCUCUUAUUUCCGUGGGUGACUUUUAAGGUAGUGUAAAUUUUGUGUUUGUACUAUACAAUUUGUUAUUUUAUUUCCUCGUGUUCAAAUAAUGAAAUCUUGAAUUCUUACACUUUGUAGUACAUCUGUACAAUUUCACAGCCUAUAACUAACAGUCAACUGAAAAUAAAAAUGAUAUAUAUAUAUAUA